rnacentral:rRNA from 1 species
AUUGAACGCUGGCGGCAGGCCUAACACAUGCAAGUCGAACGGUAACAGGAAGCAGCUUGCUGCUUCGCUGACGAGUGGCGGAAGUGUGAGUAGUGUCUGGGAAGCUGCCUGAUGGAGGGGGAUAACUAAAGGAGACGGUAGCUAAUACCGCAGAAUGUCGCAAGACCAAAGAGGGGGAACGUCGGGCCGCUUGCCAUCGGAUGUGCCGAGAUGGGGUUAGCUUGUUGGUGGGGUAACGGCUCACCAAGGCGACGAUCGCUAGCUGGUGUGAGAGGAUGACCAGCCACACUGGGACUGAGACACGGUCCAGACUCCUACGGGAGGCACCAGUGCCGAAUAUUGCACAAUGGGCGCAAGCCUGAUGAAGGCAUGCCGCGUGUAUGCAGAAGGCCUUCGGGUUGUAAAAUACUUUCAGCGGGGAGGAAGGGAGUAAAGUUAAUACCUUUGCUCAUUGACGUUACCCGCAGAAGAAGCACCGGCUAACUCCGUG